UGACAGCAUUUUGUGUUCGAUUUCUAUUUCGCAAACAAUACGCAAAACGAUGGCGCUUAGCAUUUUUACUGAGAGCGAAGCGCCACGGGAUUUUCGUGUUUCAUCUACUGAGAGUGACGGCCAUUAUAAGAAAUGCCUUUUGUGCUAUACAGUGAAGAAAAACUUCUACUGCCCGGAUUGUAUACGAACUGGGAACUUCGUGCACUCUUCCAUGCCUUACUCGGACAGAUUUUCAGAAAAACAAGCAAAAUCACUUAGGUUAAAGGCAAACAGAAAACAUGUUCUUGAACGUUGUGAGAAACUAUUGGCACCAAAAAUAAAACAAGAUGCACUCUUGACAGAGGCUAAACAAUCCAGAGAUAAAAUAGAUUUACUUAGACUAGCAAUAGAACAAAGGAGAAACAAUAUAGAUGAGAAAAAGAAGGAGCUAUCAGAGUUGACAGUGUAUAACAAUGAGUUACGGUUGAAACUGCCUCGGUACCAAAAGAGGGUGACAAGUUUAGGUAAACACGUGCAUAACCAAUGUAUGGAGUUGCAGAAUAAAGUGAGCAUGUACAAUGACCAGGCGCAAGCGUUGGCAGCACUACGGAGAUCUCGGAUACGACAGCUCACUAAAUAUAUUUUUCCUGUGUAUAUGACGUAUGAUUCUAGUGAUAGCAUAGAAGACAUGGAGUUUGUAGGGGAUGACUUAGAUGAGGAACCGUUGAAGAAGGCGCAGCUGCAUAUUGUGGCGCCCUGGAUCAAUGCCGACUGCGACUUCUCCCAUCUAGAGGACUAUGUAUCCCACAAUAAGGACUCAGGCAGCGGUCCAGGCGCCGUGACGGGGCCCCCUAUCCCGCUGGUCCGUUGGGCGAACGCGCUGGGUUUGUGUGCGCAGCUGGUCGCGUUAAUCGCGUACACGCUGGAUGCACGGUUGCCGUAUGCGCUUGCACUCAAAGUGGAGGGCUGGAUGGGCGCCUCCCUGUCGGAGGCGUGGGCGGCGUGGUCCGAGGCGGCGGGCGAGGAGCCGGCCGCGGAGCCGGAGGACGAGCCGCCGGAGCAUCUGCACUGGCCCGAGCCGCAGGAGAUGGAGGAGAUGAGCAGCUCCCCGCCUGCGCCGGCGCCGUCGCUCGUGACGUCGGCCGCCGCCUCGCUCGUGUCCAUGUGGCGCGGGUGGACCAAGUGACCAUACAUUAUACUCAACAUUACGUAAUAAACUGUCAAUAUAUACCUACUACACAUCACAAGACAAAACCUGACACAUCGGAAUGGCGCAUACAGGGUGAUAGUGACACAGUAAGGUGAUUCAGCUCACGAUUCUUAUGAGUCUUUAACGACGUCGUUAUUUUUCUUAACUUUAUCGUCAUCGUAACGAUAACGUUAUCGUAAACGUUCGUUAAUAUCGUUAACGUCAUUGUUAAAUUUGUUAAAAUUAUCAUUAUCGUUAACAUCAUUAACCUCUUACCUGGAUAGACCAACCGGUAAUGCUUGUUAAAAUUUUUGUAAUUACAAUAAUUUUUAAAUAACGACUAAUCUAAUUAUUGCAUUCUAAUAAAUUAACUAGAUAACUGAUAAUGUUGUCAAUAUUCUAUCUUCAGAUACGUAUAUUAAUAUUGUUUCUGACUUAUUCUCUUACGUUAUUUCGUUAUCUUAACACUUUCACUGACAACGUCUAUAGCCAAUGUCCCGAUCCUAUAAAUGAGGUCAAUGACUUGUGAUCGACAUCCGUGAGUGUUAAAAUAAAAUAUGAUACAAUCAGUGCCCGUUUCUUGCCACUAAAGUUUUCGCACUACUCCGAUCCGAGUCCGCCAAAUUACCGUAGAACUAUUUGUACGGUAGCUUACGAACUACAUCCGUCAUCUAUCCGAUAUAUCAAAUUUUCUACUGUCUAUUCUCGGACUUGGAUCGGAUAAGAAUCGAGGGCCUUAUUUUUGAAUCACUCACCUUUAAAUUCGAGUUCGAAAUAUAUGCCCAUUGUCGCGUACCAUACGUAAUCAUGUAAGAUCACGAAUUAUCUGAAUUCUGAAUCACACUGUUAUUUCUUUUGUGAUCUUGGGGUUAAAAAGGCCAC
rnacentral:misc_RNA from 1 species